rfam:Picea glauca, whole genome shotgun sequence.
ACAUGCAUACAACUUAGUGUUAAUGCAUCAGAUUCCAUUAAAACUCCUUUGUUAAGCGUACUUUGGCUAGAGUAGUACUAGGAUGGGUGACCGCCCGGGAAGUUCUAGUAUUUUACAUGUC